CUUUGCACAAUAAUGAUCAUCUCAAUACAAUCAUCAGUGAAGGAUUAAAUUACGGUUAUAAGGGGACAUUUCCCCUCAACAGACAUGCUCAGCUAGAACCUGAAGAUGGAGGCAAUCAAUAUAAAGUGCACCAACACACAAGACACCUACCAGAAGAAGGACCGCCAGCUGUAAUUGUAUUAGAUCAUUUCUAUCAAGGUUUCCCUGUAGCCACACUUAUUUUGCAGUUUUAUUUCUUUUGCACAGACUUCUAUGAGGACAACAUAGAACAUACAGUGAUGGAAAAAGUCAAGUUUGGCCCGAGUGUGACAGACGUCACCUCCGCCAGUCAACAUCAUACAUCAUAUGCAGCCGUCGUAAACUGAAGACCUCCCUGAAGAUGCAUCACACUCUGCAGUCGAGUACAAAAAAAAAAAAUCUGUGUGCCAUAAGUGACCAUCAGGUGGGCUGAUAGCCAUCUCUACGACAGAAGCCGAGAUGAGCACGAUUAGACAAAUCGGGGAGACGUACUUCCACAAGUAGAAGUAGAUCACAUAAGGGCGGAAACCCAACAUGUCCUCCAAAUCUUGCAUGAAUCUGUCGGCAACAGAGGAGCAGAAACAUUAAACGUGCCAUAAAUCCAAGCCACCGACACAUUUUCCAGGAUGACCACCACCGUCAGGGGCAGGCCGGCGGAAUAGUCGUCGAACAUGGUGACAAAGUAAUUCCCUGAGCGCUGAACAAACAGGAGGCCGCACAGGAAAGCCACAAUGCAGCAACACACUGAGGAAGUGGGAGAAAAAAAAUGGUUGGUGUCAAGGACAGGUGUGGUGAUGCCAGUCAUGGUACCGAUCAUGCUGCCCAGUCCGAGGUUGAUGAGCAUGAAGAAGAACAUGACGGACCAGAACGGUGAAGCGGGGAAGUGUGUCAUGGCUUCUGUGAAGGCGA